GAGGCCGUAGUGUAUCAGUCAGCAUUGCAGGCUGUGAACCUGCCGGAGCGGGUGCGAACCCCGUCGGUCUCCCCA
rnacentral:tRNA from 1 species